UCCAAAGAGAAUACACAAACAAGAGCCCAGACGUAUGGAGGGGAAAACUAUUCUAUGUAUUCUCACGGUGCUUCUGCUGAUAGGAAAUUGCGCUCAUGCUGAGCGCAGCUGCAAAUUGCACCAAGGACAGCCAAUGACAUGGUGUAUAAAUGAACUUUGUACGAAAGACUGCAACAAAGACUACCAAGAACGUCGUGUCAAGAAGGCUUAUUGUACAGGCAUUUACCCCUUCACAAAAGUCUAUUGUGUCUGCAACGUCUGUGACUAGGAGACAAUGCAACAUCGCAUUACGAGGUUCAUUUACACAAAGGAUUAAUGAAGUUUGGCAAAAAUAAAAUUUGUCUGUGUAAACUUGUGAACAUGAUUACUGCCUAGUUAAUUUGUAACGUGGUUGUUUUUUGCGUAAACACCAUCAUGUUUUAUUCACAGAUUCCGUGUGCCUUCAUCCGCAGGAAAGAAACCUGGAAACAA